AUGAACGCUAGCGACAGGCUUAACACAUGCAAGUCGAGGGGCAGCACAGGUAGCAAUACCGGGUGGCGACCGGCGCACGGGUGAGUAACGCGUAUGCAACUUGCCUAUCAGAGGGGGAUAACCCGGCGAAAGUCGGACUAAUACCGCAUGAAGCAGGGGCCCCGCAUGGGGAUAUUUGCUAAAGAUUCAUCGCUGAUAGAUAGGCAUGCGUUCCAUUAGGCAGUUGGCGGGGUAACGGCCCACCAAACCGACGAUGGAUAGGGGUUCUGAGAGGAAGGUCCCCCACAUUGGUACUGAGACACGGACCAAACUCCUACGGGAGGCAGCAGUGAGGAAUAUUGGUCAAUGGGCGUAAGCCUGAACCAGCCAAGUCGCGUGAGGGAUGAAGGUUCUAUGGAUCGUAAACCUCUUUUAUAAGGGAAUAAAGUGCGGGACGUGUCCCGUUUUGUAUGUACCUUAUGAAUAAGGAUCGGCUAACUCCGUGCCAGCAGCCGCGGUAAUACGGAGGAUCCGAGCGUUAUCCGGAUUUAUUGGGUUUAAAGGGUGCGUAGGCGGCCUUUUAAGUCAGCGGUGAAAGUCUGUGGCUCAACCAUAGAAUUGCCGUUGAAACUGGGGGGCUUGAGUAUGUUUGAGGCAGGCGGAAUGCGUGGUGUAGCGGUGAAAUGCAUAGAUAUCACGCAGAACCCCGAUUGCGAAGGCAGCCUGCCAAGCCAUUACUGACGCUGAUGCACGAAAGCGUGGGGAUCAAACAGGAUUAGAUACCCUGGUAGUCCACGCAGUAAACGAUGAUCACUAGCUGUUUGCGAUACACUGUAAGCGGCACAGCGAAAGCGUUAAGUGAUCCACCUGGGGAGUACGCCGGCAACGGUGAAACUCAAAGGAAUUGACGGGGGCCCGCACAAGCGGAGGAACAUGUGGUUUAAUUCGAUGAUACGCGAGGAACCUUACCCGGGUUUGAACGCAUUCGGACCGAGGUGGAAACACCUUUUCUAGCAAUAGCCGUUUGCGAGGUGCUGCAUGGUUGUCGUCAGCUCGUGCCGUGAGGUGUCGGCUUAAGUGCCAUAACGAGCGCAACCCUUGCCACUAGUUACUAACAGGUGAUGCUGAGGACUCUGGUGGGACUGCCAGCGUAAGCUGCGAGGAAGGCGGGGAUGACGUCAAAUCAGCACGGCCCUUACAUCCGGGGCGACACACGUGUUACAAUGGCGUGGACAAAGGGAGGCCACCUGGCGACAGGGAGCGAAUCCCCAAACCACGUCUCAGUUCGGAUCGGAGUCUGCAACCCGACUCCGUGAAGCUGGAUUCGCUAGUAAUCGCGCAUCAGCCAUGGCGCGGUGAAUACGUUCCCGGGCCUUGUACACACCGCCCGUCACACCAUGAGAGUCGAUAACACCCGAAGCCUGUGAGCUAACCGUAAGGAGGCAGCAGUCGAAGGUGGGGUUGAUGAUUGGGGUG
rnacentral:rRNA from 1 species